rfam:Desulfopila aestuarii DSM 18488 genome assembly, contig: EJ45DRAFT_scaffold00021.21
CUUAGAAAAGGCAAACUCAGGGAAACUUGAGGACGCAAAACCACGGGCCGUAUAACAAUGGCAGCCGGGUCGCAGAUA